rnacentral:rRNA from 1 species
UCGACUUGAGCUCAGGCAAGA